rnacentral:rRNA from 1 species
UACGGAGGGAGCUAGCGUUGUUCGGAUAUACUGGGCGUAAAGCGCACGUAGGCGGCUUUGUAAGUUAGAGGUGAAAGCCCAGAGCUCAACUCUGGAAUUGCCUUUUAGACUGCAUCGCUUGAAUCAUGGAGAGGUCAGUGGAAUUCCGAGUGUAGAGGUGAAAUUCGUAGAUAUUCGGAAGAACACCAGUGGCGAAGGCGGCUGACUGGACAUGUAUUGACGCUGAGGUGCGAAAGCGUGGGGAGCAAACAGG